rnacentral:rRNA from 1 species
GACGAACCGUGCGAACGUUGUUCGGAAUCACUGGGCUUAAAGGGCGCGUAGGCGGGCUGUCAAGUCUGGGGUGAAAUGCCGCGGCUCAACCGUGGAACUGCCUUAGAUACUGACGGCCUCGAGGCACUCAGGGGCGAGCGGAACAAGUGGUGGAGCGGUGAAAUGCGUAGAUAUCACUUGGAACGCCAAUGGUGAAGACAGCUCGCUGGGGGUGUCCUGACGCUGAGGCGCGAAAGCCAGGGGAGCGAACGGG